rnacentral:rRNA from 1 species
UACGUAGGGCGCAAGCGUUAUCCGGAAUUAUUGGGCGUAAAGAGCUCGUAGGCGGUUUGUCGCGUCUGCCGUGAAAGUCCGGGGCUCAACUCCGGAUCUGCGGUGGGUACGAGCAGACUAGAGUGAUGUAGGGGAGACUGGAAUUCCUGGUGUAGCGGUGAAAUGCGCAGAUAUCAGGAGGAACACCGGUGGCGAAGGCGGGUCUCUGGGCCGAUACUGACGCUGAGGAGCGAAAGCGUGGGGAGCGAACAGG